rnacentral:rRNA from 1 species
CAGCCGCCGCGGGAAUACGGAGGGUGCAAGCAUUAAUCGGAAUUACUGGGCGUAAAGCGCACGCAGGCGGUCUGUCAAGUCGGAUGUGAAAUCCCCGGGCUCAACCUGGGAACUGCAUUCGAAACUGGCAGGCUAGAGUCUUGUAGAGGGGGGUAGAAUUCCAGGUGUAGCGGUGAAAUGCGUAGAGAUCUGGAGGAAUACCGGUGGCGAAGGCGGCCCCCUGGACAAAGACUGACGCUCAGGUGCGAAAGCGUGGGGAGCAAACAGGAUUAGAUACCCGAGUAGUCCCUGUCUCUUAUAC